rnacentral:rRNA from 1 species
AUUGAACGCUGGCGGCAUGCUUUACACAUGCAAGUCGGACGCGUGGCGAACGGGUGAGUAAUAUAUUGGAACGUACCGAGUAAUGGGGGAUAACCAAUCGAAAGAUUGGCUAAUACCGCAUAAUAUUAGAGCGGCCAAUAUUGGUUUCGCUAGUUGGUGGGGUAAAGGCCUACCAAGGCAACGAUCAGUCGCGGGUAGGAGAGGAAGCUCCGCCAACCUGGGACUGAGACACGGCCCAGACUCCUACGGGAGGCAGCAGUGGGGAAUUUUGGACAAUGGGCGCAAGCCUGCUCCAGCCAUGCCGCGUGUCUGAAGAAGGCCUUCGGGUUGUAAAGGACUUUUGUUAGGGAAGCGGUACCUAAAGAAUAAGCACCGGCUAACUACGUGCCAGCAGCCGCGGUAAUAC